AUUGAACGCUGGCGGCAGGCCUAACACAUGCAAGUCGAACGAGUGGCGGACGGGUGAGUAAUGUCUGGGAAACUGCCUGAUGGGGGGGGAUAAAUACUGGGAACGGUAGCUAAUACCGCAUACCAUCAGAUGUGCCCAGAUGGGAUUAGCUGGUUGGUGGGGUAACGGCUCACAAAGGCGACGAUCCCUAGCUGGUCUGAGAGGAUGACCAGCCAAACUGUAACGGAGACACGGUCCAGGUUCCGCGGGAAGGCAGAAGUGGGGAAUAUUGCAAAAUGAGCGAAAGCCUGCUGCUGCAAUGCCGGGUGUAUGAAGAAGGCCUUGGGGUUGUAAAGUACUUUCAGCGGGGAGGCGUUACCCGCAGAAGAAGCAACGGCUAACUACGUGCCAGCAGCCGCGGUAAUAC
rnacentral:rRNA from 1 species